rnacentral:lncRNA from 1 species
ACCUGACUUGGCCUGAAGAGACAGACAAUGGCUCUUGCUAGCUAAUUAUUGUCAGAUGGAUCAGCAGCCGACCAACGCUUCUGAAACUAUUGUUUUUGGCAAAUGUUCCUCAACAUUUUCCUGGGAGCUAUGGUGCAUUACUCACGAGUGACAGAACCAACGAGCUUCAUCUCCCAAGAGGCUGGUGCAUCUGUUUAAAGGAGCAGGCGCUAUGCAGAGCAGCCCCCACCCCACCCUCCAUGGCAGAGUGCAGUGGGGGAGGAAGUUUUCAUAUAAAUGCUUUCUAUAAAGCAUUUUCAUAGAGAAAGCAGGUUCAUAUAGAAAGCACUGGCUGCUGGUUGGAGUGGAGAGAUUGAAGACCCUCAUCUAGGAUCAAGCAACCCCCAGAAAACAAUUUUAAACAUGUCCAUUCAGACAAAAGGAGUCCAAAACCGUAAGAUCCUCUCAGCAUCCUGAACUAACGUCCAGCUGUUAUCUCGGGAUGGGAUUUCACCAUGUUGUCCAAGCUGGUUUUGAACUCCUGGGCUCAAGAAAUCCA